AGUCACGGCUAACUACGUGCCAGCAGCCGCGGUAAUACGUAGGUGGCAAAUGUUGUCCGGAAUCAUUGGGCGUAAAGGGUCCGUAGGUGGCUUGAAAAGUCUUAUGUGAAAUCUCUUGGCUCAACCAAGAAACGCCAUAAGAAACUUUCUAGCUAGAGACCAUCAGAGGGAGGUAGAAUUCCAGGUGUAGUGGUGAAAUGCGUAGAUAUCUGGAGGAAUACCAAUGGCGAAAGCAGCCUCCUGGGGUGAAUCUGACAUUGAGGGACGAAAGCGUGGGUAGCAAACCGGAUUAGAUACCCGGGUAGUCCACGCUGUAAACGAUGAAUACUGGGUCUUCGGGGAAUCGACCCCUUGUGGACCGAAGCUAACGCGUUAAGUAUUCCGCCUGGGGAGUACGGUCGCAAGACUAAAACUCAAAGGAAUUGACGGGGGCCCGCACAAGCAGCGGAGCGUGUGGUUUAAUUCGAUGGUAAACGAAGAACCUUACCUAGGUUUGACAUAUAAGUGGUAGCGAUCCGAAAGGUGAACCACCCGCAAGGGAGCUUAUACAGGUGCUGCAUGGUUGUCGUCAGCUCGUGCCGUGAGGUGUUGGGUUAAGUCCCGCAACGAGCGCAACCCUCGUGGAUAGUUGUUUUCUUUAUCCAGACUGCUUUUAAAGAGGAAGGUGGGGACGACGUCAAAUCAUCAUGGCUCUUACACCUAGGGCUACACACACGCUACAAUGGAUAGUACAGACGGUUGCUAAGUCGCGAGAUGGAGCUAAUCCGAAAAAGCUAUCCCCAAUUGGAAUUGUAGGCUGAAACUCGCCUGCAUGAACGUGGAGUUGCUAGUAACCGCAGGUCAGAAUACUGCGGUGAAUACGUUCCCGGGCCUUGUACACA
rnacentral:rRNA from 1 species